rnacentral:rRNA from 1 species
GAUUCAGUCGACGAUCCGCGGUGCUCCGCUGGGCGGCCUCGGGGCGCGCUUGCCCUGGGUUGCCGCGGCAUCGACCCCUCUAGGCGCUCUUCCCGGGCCGCGCGCAGGUCUCAGCGGCGGCGGCUGGCGGCAUAGGUUGGAGGAGGCCGGGCGGAAGGCGCGCCGCAGCCUGUGGCGGGGCGCUUUCUGGGGGCGGCGCGCUGCGGCUCCGCGGCGCCUGCUCCCGGGGGCGCUCUGCCCGGCGCGUGGGACACGCGCCGCCGCCUCUCUCCUCCCGCUGCCCUGCUGACGAGGGGGGUCGGGCGCCGAGCUCGGGUCGGGGCGAAGCGUGGGGUCGGGCUGGCUGGGUC